UACGUAGGGUGCAAGCGUUAAUCGGAAUUACUGGGCGUAAAGCGUGCGCAGGCGGUGAUGUAAGACAGAUGUGAAAUCCCCGGGCUCAACCUGGGAACUGCAUUUGUGACUGCAUCGCUGGAGUGCGGCAGAGGGGGAUGGAAUUCCGCGUGUAGCAGUGAAAUGCGUAGAUAUGCGGAGGAACACCGAUGGCGAAGGCGGCUCUCUGGGACGGUACUGACGCUGAGACGCGAAAGCGUGGGGAGCAAACAGG
rnacentral:rRNA from 1 species